rnacentral:rRNA from 1 species
UACGGAGGAUGCAAGCGUUAUCCGGAAUUAUUGGGCGUAAAGCGUCCGCAGGUGGUUAUCCAAGUCUGCUGUUAAAGCGCGAGGCUUAACUUCGUACAGGCAGUGGAAACUGGGUGACUGGAGUAUGGUAGGGGUAGCGGGAAUUCCCAGUGUAGCGGUGAAAUGCGUAGAUAUUGGGAAGAACACCAGCGGCGAAAGCGCGCUACUGGGCCAUUACUGACACUCAUGGACGAAAAGCUAGGGGGAGCGAAAAGGG